UCACUUUCUGCCUUGUGCAUUCAUUCGCUUGGAUGUGUGUGUGGGUGGGAUGGGAUGGGCUUUCACCAGUGAUUGCCUUGAAUGCAUUGCAUGAUUGUGUCGUGAUGGGAUGCGUGGCAUUGUUGAUCGACAUGGUUGUGUGCUCGCUUUUAG
rnacentral:misc_RNA from 1 species